rnacentral:tRNA from 1 species
GGGGUUGACGCUAGGCGAAGAGGGGCGUAGGCUCGGGCCCUCGUGGCCCAGGUUCAAAUCCUGGCGGCCCCA